UACAGAGGGUGCGAGCGUUAAUCGGAAUUACUGGGCGUAAAGCGUGCGUAGACGGUUAUGUAAGUCGGGUGUGAAAGCCCCGGGCUCAACCUGGGAAUGCCAUUCGAGACUGCAUAGCUAGGGUGCGGAAGAGGGAAGCGGAAUUUCAGGUGUAGCGGUGAAAUGCGUAGAUAUCUGAAGGAACACCAGUGGCGAAAGCGGCUUCCUGGUCCAGCACCGACGUUCAGGCACGAAAGCGUGGGGAGCAAACAGG
rnacentral:rRNA from 3 species